rnacentral:sRNA from 1 species
ACAGCACGCCUACCCGGCGGUGCUAGUCUUCCUUCGGGGAGGCGACACGCUAAACUUGCGGGAAGUCCCCUGUCUUUACAGGGUGCAUCCGCAGCCACCCACUGCGAGCAGUGGGCGGUUCAGAGACUCAAUGAGCGUGGAUUUCUUCGGAAGUUUGAGAUAGAGCCCGUCCUCGCUGGCAAUAGCGGGGGUUCAACGGAACCUGCGGAAGGAUCAUUAUAGAGUAAAACGGUCUUCGGGCCACCUAUUCUAACCCUAUGUUUACCACACUUAGUUGCCUUGGCGCCUAGCGCCAGUGGAUCAAAACCCUUGAAUCAUUGCUGUCUGAGUACUAUAAUAAUAGUUAAAACUUUCAACAACGGAUCUCUUGGUUCUGGCAUCGAUGAAGAACGCAGCGAAAUGCGAUAAGUAAUGUGAAUUGCAGAAUUCAGUGAAUCAUCGAAUCUUUGAACGCACAUUGCGCCCUCUGGUAUUCCGGGGGGCAUGCCUGUUCGAGCGUCAUUACAACCCUCAAGCUCAGCUUGGUAUUGGGCUCGCCCUGUAGGGCUUGCCUAAAAAUCAGUGGCGGCCGCCGUCCGACCUUCAGCGCAGUAAUACUCGUAGCUGAAAGGGAAGGCUGGCGACCCCGUCAUUACAACCCCCAAUUUUACAAGGUUGACCUCGGAUCAGGUAGGGAUACCCGCUGAACUUAAGCAUAUCAAUAAGCGGAGGAAAAGAAACCAACAGGGAUUGCCUCAGUAACGGCGAGUGAAGCGGCAACAGCUCAAAUUUGAAAGCUGGCUCCUUCGGGGCCCGCGUUGUAAUUUGUAGAGGAUGCUUCGGGUGCGGCUCCGGUCUAAGUUCUCUGGAACGAGACGUCAAAGAGGGUGAGAAUCCCGUAUGUGACCGGCUGCUUGUGCCCAUGUGAAGCUCCUUCGACGAGUCGAGUUGUUUGGGAAUGCAGCUCAAAAUGGGAGGUGUACUCCUUCUAAAGCUAAAUAUUGGCCAGAGACCGAUAGCGCACAAGUAGAGUGAUCGAAAGAUGAAAAGCACUUUGGAAAGAGAGUUAAACAGUACGUGAAAUUGUUGAAAGGGAAGCGCUUGCAAUCAGACUUGCGCGGCGUCGAUCAACCUGGGUUCUCCCUGGUGCACUCGGCGCCGCUCAGGCCAGCAUCAGUUUCAGCGGUGGGAUAAAGGCCUAGGGAACGUGAGUCGCCUCGGCGACUGUUAUAGCCCUAGGUGCAAUGCCGCCUGUUGGGACUGAGGACCGCGCUUCGGCU